AUGAGUCGACCUGAUGGGAUCAACAUCCCCGAUGACAAGUUCUACCUUGAAGAUGCUGGCUAUGCAUGUCGGCCGGGUAUUCUUCCACCCUUCAGGAAAACCAGGUACCAUCUCAACAAGUUCUCUGUUAGGAACUAUACUAGGACUGCACAGGAGCUGUAUAAUCUCAGACACUCCAGCCUUAGAGUAACUGUUGAGAGGGCAUAUGGAGCUCUGAAGAAUAGGUUUAAGAUCCUGGAUCAGAAGCCAUUCCACCCAUACCCCACUCAGGUUAAGCUUGUUCUUGCUUGUUGCAUUCUGCAUAACUGGAUCCUCCAGAUGAACACAUGCCUGAGGAGGAAAAUGUCGAGCCUAACGGUGUUGUUAGCUCCGGCCAUGGUGUGGAAGCAUUUGUCAAUGACGCUUGGAAGAACAAAAGGUUGGAGUGGGCAGAGGCAAUGUGGCUUAACAGAGGUCAGUGCAGGAUUUGAAGAAGAGGAAGAAGAACAAGAAGCAGCAGCAGAAGCAGAAGAAGAGGAAGAGGAAGAUCUGGUAGCAGCAAUACCGAUGAACUAUCCCCUAUUUAGCCAAUGGCUCUUAAUAAUUUUAACUGUCAUUUGA
rnacentral:rRNA from 1 species